UAGCUCUAGUAACUCUUGGUCUAUUUGUCUACCUUCUUUGAUCUUCUCUUUGUCUGUCGUGAAAACCCAGAGAAAAAAACUUCCCCGUGGAAAAGAAAAGAAAAGAAAAUUUAUAAUCCUCUGUAUGUGAAUUGCGCACGAUGACGUCAACCCACGACCAGUACCAGUCACUCACUUUCUACCGAUCGAGAGUUGGGUCGAGGGAGUGUUGGGUCGAGGGAGCGAGGGAGUGAGAGUGAGUUGAGAGAAGGUUAGCUAGGUAGGUGGCCACGUCGAGCGGGUUUCGUGGCCGCUACCUCUGCCGUUACCUCCGGCCGCUACUGGGACGCAAGCAGCGCCUCCCGUGGCAGUGGUCGUAGUCCGAGCGGCAGCGGAGUUUGGUCCUCUAGCACUUCCGCGUCGGCUACUUCCUCCUCAAGGGCCACUGCGUGGGCUCGGUCGACCGGCCCUUGGGCCGCGACCCGGACGGCGACGUCGAGCCGGUGACGCUGAGGACGCCGCGGUGGCUGGAGCGGUUCACACUUCCAGUAAAGCCCAAGUAGUUCGACGGGCACAGGCAGAUGGUGGGUUCGGUAUAGUGGCUCGACUGCUUCUAUGAGUUGUACUAGACGAAGUCGACGGAGGUCAAGUUCUUGACGUUCUUUGUCUUUUCACACCUUUUCCUCUCGUUGAAGUGGAGUACAAGUAUGACAGUCCUAGAGGGUGGUUAGGUACAACGUUUUCAGUUCUUUAGGUUACCUCGGGAAUGGAACCUCGACUCUCACGGUAGGUCCUUUCUUGACCUUCUCCCUAAAACCUCGAAGGAGCUAGUUAAACCGAAAGUGUGCUUCCCGUCGAGAGUGACGGCAGCAAAUAAGCGUCUUCUCCAAGUCUUUUAUUACCUCUUCUAGAGACUUUUUUGUUCUUCCGUCUAACGACGAUUCCCUAUAUAAGAAGUCCUACCUAAACACUACUCGUUAGAGGGACAAGGUGGUUUGACGGAGGCGCGAAUGUUACAAAAUCUACUUUGUUAGUACACGAGAGGCCUACGGAGGUGUUUGGACGACUCCUUUUAGCAUGAGUUGCAUGUAUCUUAGUUGUUGAGUUCCCAACCGGGGGGUUGGAAGUUUCUUGUACUCCACCUUCGUCUACUAGAAGUCGAACGGUAACGACUGAUGUAGUUCGUACGUCCUUGUCGUUCCCCAGGAGUUCUAUAGUGGAAAUUUUCAGACGGACGUUGUUUUGUUACCGUCGUUUUCUACUUCCGUGAGACGUAGUCGUUCUCGAGUUCGAAGAGUACGGCACCACACUAGUGCCCACUGGGUAUGUAAGGAUACUUACACCAUCCUCAAGGACUACUUCAUCGUUCUGCUUACAGCCAUCUUCUCGCACACUGUCUGAUGUUGUAACGAGUCGACGUUCCGUACUACCUAUCUCCAGAAACGGACUGUGUACUUCUACGAUUAAGAUAGUGCGUGAGGAACCUACACCCCUUUCGUUUAUUCUUUGCCUGGUAUGAUUUCCAACCACUUUGCCAGUUGGCCUCUUAAGACCUACCUCUACGCCAUAAACAGUUGUCCGGUGGUUCGUGGCUGUUCGUGAGUCAGGUUCGUUACAUACAGGCACAUGUAUGACUGGUGUGGUAGUUCUAGUUGGGUGAGUAUACACCGGGUGAACCUCGUCUAAAACUACCGCUGACACAGGUGUAAAAGAAGGGUUCCAGUCACAGUCGUUCCCGACUUCGAUAUCUCGAGAAGUGCCACCUCUUCGUCGACCAGUCGAGAGUGUUACGUUUCGACUUAAAAGUCGAGUUCUUACUAACGAAUGAUCGAAAUUUCUUUUACAGACGAUCUUUCAUAAGGUCUUACCUCCGGUUACUUGAAUAUUUACGUUACAAGUGCCGUCCCAACUAAGGGUACUUCGCUGAUAGUCCACCUGGUCUCACCUCAAAGCGAGUCUAAGAUCUCUGUCAUGAUGGUGUCCUUUUAUUUUAUAAUUAGUCUCUGAACCAACGACCGUGAUAAUGGUAGAGUAGUCAAGACAGGUACUUCUUAGGUUCCCUCCGGUAUCUUAAAGACUUAGAAGACGUCGGGGAUGAUUACCUUAGUAAUAAAUGACUGCCAAAGUCGCAUUCGGACUCUCUGAAGUUACAGGUCUUAGGUUAUGGUGUCUGUUAUGUCGUAGUCUGUGAACUAGAACUGUUCAAUGCCUUUGGUUAACACCUGAAGUAAUGAAGAAGACUGUAAGCGAAGAACCAACUGGUUUUCUCUCUAAGUCGGUACUGGUUUCAUCACCUCGUCUAACCAAAGAACCCUGUAGUCGACGUCGCGUUGCCUUCUAAUAUAAGACCGUCGAACCAUCUCCUAACGCAUAGGUUCAGCGAUUCGUUCACGCCGUCGUCGUGGUUACCAACGGUAGGAAACCUCCGUGUACCAAAACAGUCCUUGAGUAAAACGUUACCUGACUUGGGUAUACUCCUGGAUGAGGUAAGUUAUAGACGUUCCCUCUUCUGUUAUGCGCGUAGAUUUCCUGAACACCUCGGCCCGCAAGAGAAGUUCUUGUACUACCGUUACGAGGCUCUACAACAUCGUACGAUACUACCUUGGUAUUCUUUGAGCACGCCUUUAAGUCAACAGUUCAAACUGAGCUGUCUGAGUAGGUCAAGACACUGUGGUCCUCUAGGGCAACCAUAGAACCGUCGGUGACGUCAAUGCUUACGACGUAUGUUCCGUCACAAUCUGGGUUUAGUCUUAUUGUACCGGAGUACCCUGAGUUACUUCCUUCAUGAUGAAUGUUCUCGACCGAGAUCCUUACUUUUACUGGUUUUUUAUUAAAACAUAGACUUGUUUACGAGGACGCCGUUAUUAAAAACGUACCUUUCUCGUAGCGAGCGUCAAGUUCGGACGAAUUUCUCCUGGUUUCAUCUUCUGACACGAUGACUCAAGAGUUAGGUAAUAGUUGUUGUUUUAUAAGUUCGUUGUGUAACAGAACAACCGGUGUAAGUGGAACUGUUCUUCGUUGACCUACUUUACUUGUAUUCAUACGUUCCAUAAGAAGUCUUUACGGUCCUUCUUUAUAUAUCUACGCCUUUCUUCUUCCCCGUCCACUUAGUUGAAUACUUCUCUCAACACUAGAGUUCGCUUAUAUACACGAUGGUCCUACGUCUACUGCUUCUUGUCCAGAGGACAAACGUCAAAAAGGACUGUUUUUCACAGUGGUGUGUUAGACUUAGAAGACGCGCUCAACAGGUCAACUACCGGUUAUGGUAAAGAGGAUAUGAGGACCUGUGUUAGUAUUUUCCACUAGGUGCUCAAGUCCUCCACUUGUAUUAUACCCAACUUGGUGUUCUGUGCACAACCCAGGUCUUGAGGCCAUGUCUCGUCUUCCCGCUUGACCGCGACCAUUAGUGUUACCUAUUUCUGAGUUGACCCCUCUCACCACUACAGACCCCUUGUCGUUACCUACGUACGUAGGGACACUACCUAGACUAGCUGUGAUGGUCCAGACACGGGAUGUCGUAGGUUCCUCAAGCCCUUCCCAAACCUUAAAGGAGACGGAAACCAGCUCAGUGUGUCGUGGAAAGGUUCCGUCAACCUUACCAAUGUUUUAGUCAAGAACUUCUUGUGGACUGAUGACAACGUUCGUCGUACUGGACGUGUCCAUUGAACGUACCGAAGUUGUCGAUACCAAUGUUCCGGUGUAAGUUCCGGGAGUUCUAUGUCCGUGGGAAGUACUUCCGAUGUGAGCGAUCCGGUAACGUUACGAAGCUCCUCCCACGUCUCUUCCAGAUAAGACUAGUCAACCUAUCACAACACAGAUGGACGAGAACCCCGUUAGGACGUGGUUAACCCUGGCCAAGUCGGAAGUUUUAGGUGACCUUACUACUCUUGUACAAUCGUCCGCUACUCUUGGAACCUCCCAUACCAAAUAUACUUAAGGAGUGUCUGCAUCUUUGUUGUUCUCGGUGACUUCUAUUAUAUUAACAAGGUAUGCCAAGGACGAACAUACUACAACUGUUGGAACUUCUUCUACUUUAGCUUCUCCUACCUCAGAAUACAAACCCUCCUUUGUCAGGUUAGAGAACCUGUCUGUCCGGUUUUCGUUUAGAGGACAACGUACUAGAAGUUCCAACCUCCCGACUUGUUCCCGUGGUUUUCCACGGUCGACGUUUAACCGUUGUACCAUUUGUACAGCGGUGUCUCAGUUCACGGUGACCACCUACCUUGGUCUCGUCAAGAUGGUGCUUUCAAAUAGUCUCUUCCGUUGCAUUAUCAUUAACCUCGAGUCUACAUUACGUUGUUCUACCAUUGGGUUCAACCUUGUUUCGUAUACACCGUCCGGGCUCGUUGUGACGGUAAUGUCCCGGUUGUUCACCGUGAUCACCUACCUUAGUCUCGUCUAGAUGGUGCUUUCACAUAGUCUCUUCCGUCGCUCUACCAUUAACCUGGAGUCUACGUUGUGUUCUUCUACCAUUGGGUUCAACCUUCUUUCGUUUACACCGUUCGGUCCCGUUGAAACGGUAAUGUCCAGGUAGAUCGAGACCACCUACCUCAUCUUUCUGGUUAUUACAACCAUCUCCAGCUCCACCACCAUCUCCACGUCACACCUUUAGUCUCCCUAGUGUGGCACCUCCAUUGUCAUCCACCUUUCGGGUUUCUCAGUUAUGGUGUUCGCGGGGCUUGAAGGUGUAAAGUCCUGGUAGGUUGAUACCACCUGCCUUGUAGUUCUGGCCGUUAGAACCGGGUUCGGCACCGUCUCCUGGUCGUACCUCUAGUUUCCCUGGUUUGGCCCCUCCAUCGUUAUCACCUGUUGUUCCCUCAAGUUUGAAAUGUGAUCGCCUUGUCGUCUAGGUACGUGUUCAACUAGGCUAGUACUUUCUUCAUUUCUCCUAGUAGGCACUUAGUUCCCUACCGUAGUUCGAAAGACCUCUACUACUCUUCAAGUAACAACUUUUAUAAGAGUACAUGGUGGGUCUCUUCCUUUUCUUCUACCGUCCCUUAUUGUUAAUGUAUUACCAACGAUUCGUAGUUUUCAAGGUAUCGAGGUCCACGAACAUGCAGCGUAGGAGUCUACCGGGAGGAUGUCUAAAGAGGAUGUUCUUCACGGAUCUCUUGUACUAGUCCUAAGUGAUGGGUGUACUUCGUUCAAGUAAGACGUCUUUCAUGAAGGUCACUACUUGAUAUCGCACAGGUAAGCGUAGCUUGACAUACGCGAACGUCAUCACGUUACAGAUUGGGUGACUUUACUGGAGUAGACCGUAUGUGCUAAAUACACCUGAGACUACAGGUAUUUGAACAUAUUAAGCCACACGAACUUUAAUAAGAUGCUGACACUACGAUAAAGACUUGUAAUCCUUUGUUUUGGACCG
rnacentral:rRNA from 1 species